rnacentral:rRNA from 1 species
UACGGGGGGGGCAAGCGUUGUUCGGAUUCACUGGGCGUAAAGGGUGCGUAGGCGGUUGGACAAGUCUGAUGUGAAAUCCCGCAGCUUAACUGCGGAACGGCAUUGGAAACUGUCCGACUAGAGGAAUGGAGGGGAGACUGGAAUACUUGGUGUAGCAGUGAAAUGCGUAGAUAUCAAGUGGAACACCAGUGGCGAAGGCGAGUCUCUGGACAUUUCCUGACACUGAGGCACGAAGGCCAGGGGAGCAAACGGG